AUUGAACGCUGGCGGCAUGCCUUACACAUGCAAGUCGAACGGUAACGCGGGGCAACCUGGCGACGAGUGGCGAACGGGUGAGUAACGCAUCGGAACGUGCCCAGUAGUGGGGGAUAGCCCGGCGAAAGCCGGAUUAAUACCGCAUACGACCUACGGGUGAAAGGGGGGGAUCGCAAGACCUCUCGCUAUUGGAGCGGCCGGUGUCAGAUUAGGUAGUUGGUGGGGUAAAGGCCCACCAAGCCUUCGAUCUGUAGCUGGUCUGAGAGGACGACCAGCCAGACUGGAACUGGGACGCGGGCAGGACUCCUACGGGAGGCAGCAGUGGGGAGUGUUGGACAAGGGGCGCAAGCCCGAUCCAGCCAUGCCGAGUGCGGGAAGAAGGCCUUCGGGUUGUAAACCGCUUUUGUCAGGGAAGAAACGCUCUGGGCUAAUACCCCGGGGUAAUGACGGUACCUGAAGAAUAAGCACCGGCUAACUACGUGCCAGCAGCCGCGGUAA
rnacentral:rRNA from 1 species